rnacentral:lncRNA from 1 species
GUUUCACGAAUCACGCCUCUCUAUAUAUUCAUAGCGACACACACUUCCCUCAUCCCUUGUGUGUGAGAGAGAAAACAAAACCCCAAUUUCACAAAACACAAAACUCACCGCCACCUUCUUUCUUCUCCAUAGCCAUAUCCACUCACUCAUACACACACACACAUCUCUCUCACUCACUCAAAUCGCCAUGGCUGCGGAGCAAGCUCAACUGGCUGCAAUCCUUGGACCAGAUUCAGCACCCUUUGAAACCCUUAUCUCUCAUCUCAUGUCCGCUUCCAACGAGCAACGGUCCCAAGCCGAGUCGGUUUUCAAUCUCAUCAAGCAAAAUGAUCCGAAUUCACUUGCUCUCAAGCUCGCCAACGUCCUCACCUCUUCCCCGCACCAGGAAGCUCGGGCCAUGUCAACAAUCCUCUUACGAAAGCUCCUCACGCGUGACGACUCGUUCAUUUGGCCCAAACUCACCGAGUCGGCACUCGCUCUCAAGCUCGCCAACGUCCUCACCUCUUCCCCGCACCAGGAAGCUCGGGCCAUGUCAACAAUCCUCUUACGAAAGCUCCUCACGCGUGACGACUCGUUCAUUUGGCCCAAACUCACCGAGUCGACUCAGUCAGGGAUUAAAACUGUGCUCCUCGCAUGCAUCCAGCGCG